GAUCUCAGUCUCUCUCUCUCUCUCCUCUUCCUUAUUCACUCCAUCAAUGACGACGCCCUCUCUCUCAUCUUCCCACUUCUCUCCAUCGACGAUACGAUGCCCUCUCUUUCUCCUCUUCCUUCUUCACUCAAUCAAUGAUGACAACACCCGCUCUCUCUCCUCUUCCUUAUUUGCUCCAUCGACAACGACACCCUCUCUCUCAUCUUCCUUCUUCUCACGCGAAGCUCUGUUUUUCAUCUGGUGAGGUUGGCUCCUAUCAUGCAUUUCGUUAUUGGUGGCUUCCAGACCUCUAACCCCUGGUGUUGAACACAAAAAAUUACAUGAUAAGGAAAGGGGCCCAGGAUAAAAGCCCAAGACAUGAAGGUUGAUCUUUAAGGCUGCUGAUUGUCCCUUAAGGUCAGUUUUCAAUAAAACAAAUAAAAAAAUAAAAGGUGGGAAGAGAUCGUGUUUAUCCUCUGCAAAUCCAUUCAGCACAGAGGCCGCUUACUUAGCAAACGUGCUUCCCCAACUGCUAUUGAUCUUUUGCCUAUAAAAGUCAUGAACGUACAGAGGCAAAGGGGGGGAAAAAAAAGCAGAGGCGAGAAAUCUGAAGGAGGAACGAAGGGCUGCAGAAAUUGAAGGCAAGAAGCAAAAGGAGAAAAUCCAAAGUGCUGCAAAGAAGAAAGAGUCAGGUUGCUGAAAUUCUAAAACGCCAGAAAAUAAAAGAAGGAACUAAGUGCUCCAAAGGUUACCAGAAAAGCAAAUCAAAAGCAUCAUUGGCAAGGUAUCAAUAUAUUUGUAGGUUCUGUGCUCUUUGUUGUUAAUUUAACUUGCGAGCAAAAAGAGCUUUGGUUGUCAACAAUUGCAGCCACCAUAAUGACGUCAAGACAGCAGCAAGUCAAGGCUUUGAGAAUGUGCAGUGCGAAAUUCCUCCAUGCCCUUGCUGUCAAUUUGUCACAGAGAUCUCAAGAAAUUGCAAGGGAAAGGAUUAGAUCCCUCCCAAACAUAAAAUGGUGGUGUCACUGCAACAUUGCAUAGAAAGACCUCUCGCAAGGACCUCUUUUCUGUGAAAAUAUACAGAGGACUUCUGCAAGAACUCCACUGUAUUAAUCCUUCCAAAUUGGUGAUGGCAGCACAACUUA